AAGAGAGAGACAUGCGCGCAUAUCAAUAAGCGGAGGAAAAGAAACUAACAAGGAUUCCCUUAGUAACGGCGAGUGAAGCGGGAAGAGCUCAAAUUUGAAAUCUUCAAGGUUCUACCUUGACGAAUUGUAGUUUAAAGAAGUGUUUUCUGUUGAAGUUUUGGUAAAAGUUCUUUGGAAUAGGACAUCAUAGAGGGUGAGAAUCCCGUAUUUGACCAUUAUUUUCAGCUUUGUGAUACACUUUCAAAGAGUCGGAUUGUUUGGGAAUGCAGUCCAAAAUGGGUGGUAAAUUUCAUCUAAAGCUAAAUAUUGGCGAGAGACCGAUAGCGAACAAGUACCGUGAGGGAAAGAUGAAAAGAACUUUGAAAAGAGAGUUAAACAGUACGUGAAAUUGUCAAAAGGGAAGCGUUUGACACCAGUGUUGUUUUCUCGAAAAUCAAUUAAAAAUGGCUCGAUUUUGUAUUGCUGAGACCUUAAAAGCUCACUGUACAUUUUUCGUGUCUUUUUUAAUGCACUUUUCGUUUAACAAGUCAACAUCAGUUUCUUUUGUUGUAAAAGGGUCAUUGGAAGGUGGCUUUCUUUUCGGAGGAAGUGUUUAUAGCCUUUGGCCUCUGCAAUCGAAGAGACUGAGGUCUGCAGCGUAGACUCUUCGGGGUUAGAUACAUUUGUGCUAAGUUAUAGCCUUUUCAUAGACAACUUGUUGACUAUAAUCAGUCAUGUAGCUUACUCGCUUAUGCUAUUUUACCUACGCUUAGGAUGUUGAAGAUGUAGCACAUCAU
rnacentral:rRNA from 1 species